CCUGAGCUAUGCAUAAGCCCUUUGACCACGCAUGGAGAAUUUUACCACCCAGAGACACGCGAGUGGCCCUGUGCAAGUUUCAACUGCGCGGGGGCGGGGAAUUCCGCAGACAGGAUUCGAGAAUUUAUGUCUUGUGUGGUAACAUUUCAGCCGGUGGGCGGCGGGGAUUAGGCGUGAAGCGGUUCAGCAGGCAGAGGUUCUCCGACGCCCUCCGGCGAAGCCACCUGUUGAUGCUUUUGACUUUCUGUCCUUGUUCCUCGUCCCAUCUGGAGCAUUUCCAAUUCUGGUUUUGCGGAGCAGCAGGUCUGAGCUUGUCCGGCGAGGGUGGGAGUUGGUCCCGGCGGAGAUCCAGUGGGAAGAGCCGGCGGCUGCCCGGGCGUCUCCUUGAGCCUCCAGAGGACUCACAACACUCCGGGGCAUGUUGCUCUUUCAAAUACCAGGAAUGGACUCUGGGGAAUGGGGCACCCUUGAAGUCUGAUUAUUUCUUCCCUGUAGAGCCCCAGGGGCUAAUUAAACUCGUGUUUAUGG
rnacentral:sRNA from 1 species